GGGCCCCCGUUGUGUAGCGGCCUAGCACGCCGCCCUCUCAAGGCGGUAGCGCCGGUUCGAAUCCNNNGAUUCA
rnacentral:tRNA from 1 species